ensembl:lncRNA
CUCCUGUUCUUAGAGGAAGAAGUACUUUGGGAUGCUCCUCCUAGAAAUUUCGAAGGGGGACCUUCAGUGUAUCAUUUGGGGAGGUAAAGUCCAUGCAACAGUGUCUUAUUUCCGUCAGCUUCUUCUACAAGGGGUUUUACUGUUAUUUUAAUAGGAUGGAUAUGUUUCUUUGAAAAGAGCACCAUGUAAGGGAAUGAAUAAAUAACUAGCUGUGUAUGAAAUUGAAUGGUUAGAAAAGCAGUCUGCCUUCACUGCAGGCACGCAGAUUUGGGGGUCAAGCACAGAUGCCCUCCACAGAAGCACAGGGCCAGGGCCUGCUGAGGGUUGUAGUGCCCGAGAGCCUCCUUGGCCUCUCAAACAUCAAAGUGCCCAGGAAUCAAUACCUGUGCUCCGCCAGUAUGUCUACUGAACCAGAGCCAAUAGCAUCAGUGGCUCUGUGGUCGAGAAUCUACCUGCCAAUGCAGGGGACACAGGUUUUAUCCCUGGGUUAAGAAGAUCCUCUGGAAGAUGAAAUGGCAACCCACUCCAGUAUUCUUGCCUGAAAAAUCCCAUGGACAGAGUUGCCUGGUGGACUGCAGUCCAUGGGGUUGCAAAGAGUCCAGCACAACUGAGUGACUGAACAUGCAUGCAUGCAUGCCCUCAUAAGAGACCCUACAGCUGGAUACAAGAAGUCUGUGACCCAGAAGAGGGCCUUCCUGAUCUUGGACUUUCAGCUUCCAGAACUUUGAGAAAUAAAUUUUUGUUGUGUUUUAAGC